rnacentral:rRNA from 1 species
GAUGAACGCUGGCGGCGUGCCUAAUACAUGCAAGUCGAGCGAACAGACGAGGAGUUUGCUCCUCUGACGUUAGCGGCGGACGGGAGAGUAACACGUGGAUAACCUACCUAUAAGACUGGGAUAACUUCGGGACGCCGGCGAUUAUAACGGAUAAUAUAUUGAAGCGCAUGGUUUAAUAGUGAAAGGCGGUUUUGUUGUUACUUAGUGAUGGAUCCGUGCCUCAUCAGGUAGUUGGUAAGGUAGCUGCCUACCAAGGCAAUGAUACGUAGACGACCGCGGAGGGUUGUCGCCACAAUGGGACCUGAGACACGGUCCAGACUCCUAGGGGGGGCCGCAGAAGGAAUUCUUCCGCAAUGGAGGAACACCGUACGGAGAACUGCCGCGGGAGGAAUGAAGUUCUUCGGCUCUAAAGACUCUGUUUAUGGGAAGGAACAAUUUGGUAGAUAACCGUGCACGUCUUGACGGUACCUAAUCAGAAAGCCACGGCUAACUACGUG